rnacentral:rRNA from 1 species
UACGUAGGUGGCAAGCGUUGUCCGGAUUUAUUGGGUUUAAAGGGUGCGUAGGCGGUCUAAUAAGUCAGUGCUGAAAUAUCCCGGCUUAACCGGGAGGGUGGCAUUGUUACUGUUGGACUUGAGUAGAGUUGAGGUUGGCGGAAUUGACGGUGUAACGGUGAAACGCUUAGAUAUCGUCAAGAACACCGAUAGUGAAGACAGCUAACUAAGCUCAAACUGACGCUGAGGCACGAAAGUGUGGGGAUCAAACAGG